AGGGUUUCAGCCUGUUGCCUGAGCUGGAGUGUGGUGGUAUGAUUAUAGCUCACUGCAGCCUCAAACUCCUGGGCUCAAGAGAGCCUCCUGAGUAGCUAGGACUGCAGGCACAUGCCAUCAUGCCUGGGUAAGUUUUUUAUUUUAGUUAGAGACAGGAUCGCACCAUGUUCCCCAAGCCGGUCUUGAACUCCUGGCCUCAAGUGAUCCUCCCAUCUUGGCCUCCCAAUGUGCUGGGAUUACAGGCAUGAGCCACUGCCCCCCAGCCAACAUAGUUGUUUAUACUGUGUGUCUGAUAAUUUCAAUAUCUGAAUUCUUUGUAUGUGUGAUUCUCUUUUAUUUAUGGCACCUGAUUUCCUUGUGUUUUGUGAUUUUUAACUUUGCUUAUUUCAUGUUUCUUAGAACUUUAUUUGUGGAAGUUCUUGAGGCAUGAGUUGAAAUUAUUGUUGUCCAGAGAAAAUUUAUGUUUGCCUCUGCUACUUACUUGGCAUACAAGUAACCCAGGGCCACUUUGAAAUACAUUUUCUGCUUGAGAGUUGGUUGAUUUUUUUUAAGUACCAUGAACUCAGGCUACACAUUCAUGUACACCCUGGUUUGUGGUUAUGAAUUUUUAGCAGAGAUUUUCUCCAUCUAGUGUGAAGGUCAAAUUAGCAAAUUUCCUUUCUAUCCCCUUCUGUGUGUAGGUUUAUUUUAUGCUCAACUUUACCUUGAUAAUAUUGCCUUAGGGGCCCAAUUUAUGAUAAAGGUGAUAUUUUAAAUCAAUAGCAAAACGAUGAAAAAUUUAAUUAACUGUUGUGUUAUAACUAGAAACAAAAUAAAGUUAGAUUUCUAUGUUAUGACUCCAUCUAAACUGUAUUCUAAAUAGGUUAAAGAUUUAAAGGUAAGCUGGGUGCAGUGGCUCACACCUAUAAUCCCAGCACUUUGGGAGGCUGAGGUGGGCGAAUCACUUGAGGUCAGGAGUUCGAGACCAGCCUGGCAAACAUAGUGAAAUCCCAUCUCUACUAAAAUACAAAAAAAAUUAGCCGGGUGUGGUGGCACAUGCUUGUAAAUUCCAGCUACUCGGGAGGCUGAUACAAGGAGAAUCACUUGAACCCAAGGUGGAGGUUGCAGUGAGCCAAGAUUGUGCCACUGCACUCCAGCCUGGGCAGCAGAGUGAGACUCCAUCUCAAAAAAAAAAAAAAAUUUAAAAAUAAAUGAAAUAAAGGAAGAUUGUGAGAAGUGACAACGUGCUAGCAGCCCUCACUUGCUCUCGGCGCCUCCUCGGCCUCGGCGUUCACUCUGGCUGUGCUUGAGGAGGCCUUCAGCCCACCACUGCACUGUGGGAGCCCCUCUCUGGGCUGCCUGAGGCCACAGCUGGCUCCCUCUGCUUGUGGGGAGGUGUGGAGGGAGAGGCAUGGGUGGGAACCAGGGCUGUAUGUGGCGCUCGCAGGCCAGCACGAGUUCCGGGUGGGCACAGGCUCCGCAGCUCCCCACUCGGAGUGGCCAGCCGGCACUGCCGGCCCCGGGCAGUGAGGGGCUUAGCACCCGGGCCAGCAGCUGUGGAGGGUGCGCCGGGUCCCCCAGCACUGCCGGCCCGCCCGUGCUGUGCUCGAAUUCUCACCAGGCCUCAGCCGCCUCUCCGUGGGGCAGGGCUCAGGACCUGCAGCCCACCAUGCCCGAGCCUCCCCACCCCCAGUGGGCUCCCACGCAGCCCGAGCCUCCUCGACGGGUGCCGUCCCCUGCUCCGCGGCACCCGGUCCCAUCGACCGCCCAAGGGCUGAGUGUGGGUGCACCGUGCAGGACUGACGGGCAGCUCUGCCUGCGGCCCCGGCGCAGGAUCCACUAGGCCAAGCCAGCUGGGCUCCUGAGUCCUAUGGGGACUUGGAGAACUUUUAUGUCUAACUGGAGGAUUGUAUAUGCACCAAUCAGUACUCUGUGUGUAGCUCAGGGUUUAUGGAUGCACCAAUCAGUGCUCUGUAUCUAGCUAAUCUGGUGGGGACUUGGUGAACUUUUAUGUCUAGCUAGAGGAUUGUAAAUGCACCAAUCAGCACUCUGUGUCUAGCUCAGGGAUUGUAAAUGCACCAAUCAGCACCCUGUCAAAAUGGACCAAUCAGCUCUCGGUAAAAUGGACCAAUCAGCAGGAUGUGGGUGGGGCCAGAUAAAGGAAUAAAAGCAGGCUGCCCGAGCCAGUGGUGGCAACCUGCUCAGGUCCCCUUCCACGCUGUGGAAGCUUUGUUUUUUCACUCUUUGCAAUAAAUCUUGCUGCUGCUCACUCUUUGAGUCCGCGUGGCCUUUAAGGGCUGUAACAUUCACCACGAAGGUCUGCAGCUUCACUCCUGAAGCCAGCAAGACCAUGAACCCACCGGAAGGAAUGAACAACUCCAGAUGCAUUGCCUUUAAGAGCUGUAACACUCACUGCGAAGGUCUGCAGCUUCACUCCUGAAGUCAGCGAGACCACGAACCCACCAGAAGGAAGAAACUCUGGACACAUCUGAACAUCUGAAGGAACAAACUCAGGACACACCAUCUUUAAGAACGGUAACACUCACUGCGAGGGUCUGCAGCUUCAUUCUUGAAGUCAGCAAGACCAAUUUCAGACACAUUUUGGUGACCCAGAUGGGACUAUCACCUAUCGCCGAGUGGUGAGACUAUCACCUAUCGCUGAGCGGUGAGACUGUCGCCUAUUGCCAAGCGGUGGCAGGAGUGGAAUCUUGGAUUCACCACACCCAAGUUAAACUUUGGACAUCCCCUGAGGAACCUGCAGGACUAUCAGCUUUGGAGUCCCAAGAUCAGCCAGACCAGCAUUGAUACACCUGCGAACCAUUGGAGGACUUGCAUCUCCUAUUUCAGAAGGAAACAUCCCAGACUAAAAAGUCUCCUACCACUGAUCCUGAGGAAAAAUCCUUAAAAAAGAUAAGUGAAAACAGCAUACUAACCAUACUCUUUGCGAUAGGACUAUAUACUGUAGCUCCUGCCAGGACAAAAAUCCUAAUCACAUCAACCUUCUUUUUAUCUUCCUUCCUUUUGACAGCAAUUUACUCCUACUUUUAACUCAGACUCGAUAAAAUGAUCUCGUGUUCCAGAGCACCCCCUUUAUCUUCCUAUUUGCUCAUUGCCUAUGUAUCCCUCCUGCUUCCUUGGAUACCUUAUACAAUCACCCCUCCCCUUCCACUAGCUCCUAGUUACCUCUACAAGACUCUCAAUUUAACCCACUCUCUGUUAAACCAGUCCAGUCCUUCCCUGGCAAAUGACUGUUGGCUUUGUAUCUUUCUAUCAACCUCUGCUUAUGUUGCCACUCCCAUUCCCGCAAAAAACUGGGUCUUAACCAAUUUAAUGUACCACCCUUGUUAUGAAGGAAAAGACUCUUUCUGACUUCUAAAUAUGCAAUCAUCAGCCAACUUCUCCAUCUCUGAUAGGACCAAGAAUACCCUAACAGGACGUGCAAUCCAACUUUUAAGUUCUUACAUUUCCAACCUCACCUAUUACACAAGCAAUGAAAAGCCCACACAUGGCCCGGUAACUAUGAAUACCAUCUUAACUUUCCAAGCCCCUUUAUGCAUCCAAUGCAACCUGUUAUCAGGCCUGCCCCUGGGGCACCUACUACCACAUCAGUGUAAUUACAGCCUACAACUUCAAGCCCCAACUGAUCAUAGUAACUUCCGAGUCAUCUAAACAGCUCCAUUCAGAUGGCUUGUCCGCUUCUCAGGGCCCCCAAAAAUCAUCAACUUCUCCCUGCUUAAUGAACAGUCCAGGUUUGGUAAUGGCAAACAUACUCCCUGCAUGACCAUUCACCCCUGGACCGCCUGUAAAAGCUCCCCCACCACUAGUGAAUGCCUUCUAAUCCCCUAUUUCAAUCACUGUCUUGAAUGGUUCCUAGUGGAUACAAAAUGUUUUUUUCUCCAAUGGGAAAAUAGAACACAGGGAGCCACUCAGUUUGCUCCCAACACCCCUUUCCAGCCACUCACUGGAGCUACCUUGGCAAGUACUCUAGGAAUAUGGGAAAAUGAAAACAACAAAUACACACACCUUUUUAACAUACACAACCAGUUCUGUCUACCCAGCAAGGUAUAUUCUUCUUAUGUGGAACAUCGACCUAUAUCUGCCUCCCCACUAACUGGACAGGCACCUGCACCUUAGUCUUUCUAAGUCCCAACAUUAACAUUGCCCCAGGAAAUCAGACCUUAUCAGUAUCCCUCAAAGCUCAAGUCCAUCAGCGCAGAGCCAUACAACUAAUACCCCUACUUAUAGGGUUACGAAUGGCUACUGCUACAGGAACCAAAAUAGCCAGUUUAUCUAUUUCAUUAUCCUACUACCACACACUCUCAAAGGCUUUCUCAGAUAGUUUGCAAGAAAUAAUGAAAUCUAUGCUUACUCUACAAUCCCAAAUAGACUCUCUGGCAGCAGUGACUCUCCAAAACCACCGAGGCGUAGACCUCCUCACUGCUGAGAAAGGAGGACUCUGUACCUUCUUAGGGGAAGAGUGUUGUUUUUACACUAACCAGUCAGGGAUAGUACAAGAUGCCACCCAGCAUUUACAGGAAAAGGCUCCUGAAAUCAGGCAAUGCCUGUCGAAUUCUUAUACCAACCUCUGGAGUUGGGCAACAUGGCUUCUCCCCUUUCUAGGUCCUGUGGCAGCCAUCUUGCUGUUACUUGCCUUUGGACCCUGUAUUUUUAACCUCCUUGUUACAUUUGUUUCCUCUAGAAUCGAGGCCAUCAAGCUACAGAUGGUCUUACAAAUGGAACCCCAAAUGAGUUCAACUAACAACUUCUACCGAGGAUCCCUGGACUGACCUGCUGGCACUUUCACUGGCCUAGAGAGCUCCCCCUCUGGAGGACACUACAACUGCAGGACCCCUUCAUUGCCCCUAUCAAUCAGGAAGUAGCUAGAGCGGUCAUUGGCCAAAUUCCCAACAGCGGUUGGGGUGUCCUGUUUAGAGGGGGGAUUGAGAGGCCUCCUUGGCCUCGGCGUCCACUCUGGCUGUGCUUGAGGAGCCCUUCAGCCUGCCGCUGCACUGUGGGAGCCCCUCUCUGGGCUGGCCGAGGCUGGAGCUGGCUCCCUCUGCUUGCAGGGAGGUGUGGAGGGAGAGGCGUGGGUGGGAACCGGGGCUGCAUGCAGUGCUCGCGGGCCAGCAUGAGUUCUGGGUGGGCGUGGUCUCAGCGGGCCCCACACUCAGAGUGGCUGGCCGGCGCUGCCGGCCCCAGGCAGUGAGGGGCUUAGCACCCAGGCCAGCAGCUGUGGAGGGUGCGCCGGGUCCCCCAGCACUGCUGGCCCGCCCACACCACACUCAAAUUCUUGCGGGGCCUCAGCUGCCUCCCUGCGGAGCAGGGCUCAGGACCUGCAGCCCACCAUGCCUGAGCCCCGCCAGCACCAUUGGGCCCCCAUGCAGCCAGAGCCUCCCCGACGGGCACCGCCCCCUGCUCUGUGGCACCCAGUCCCGUCGACUGCCCAAGGGCUGAGGAGUGCAGGCGUGUGGCGCAGGACUGAUAAGCACCUCCACCCACGGCCCCAGCAUGGGAUCCACUAGGCGAAGCCAGCUGGGCUCCUGAGUCGGGUGGGGACUUGGAGAACUUUCAUGUUGGAGGGUUGUAUAUGCACUAAUCAGUACUCUGUGUGUAGCUCGGGGUUUGUGGAUGCACCAAUCAGCACUCUGUAUCUGGCUAAUCUGAUGGGGACUUGGAGAACUUUUAUGUCUAGCUAGAGAAUUGUAAAUGCACCAAUCAGCACUCUGUGUCUAGCUCAGGGAUUGUAAAUGCACCAAUCAGCACUCUGUCAAAAUGGACCAAUCAGCUCUCUGUAAAACGGACUGAUCAGCUCUCUGUGAAAUGGACCAAUCAUCAGGAUGUGGAUGGGGCCAGAUAAGGGAAUAAAAGCAGGCUGCCUGAGCCAGGAGUGUCAACAUGCUCGGGUCCCCUUCCACGCUGUGGAAGCUUUGUUCUUUCACUCUUCACAAUAAAUUUUGCUGCUGCUCA